AGCGGUCUACUCCAAACUUCUACUACGAGCGGUUUACUCCAAAUCUCUACUACAAGCGAAUUCCAUCCGAGCUUCUACUGUAAACAAAUUUCUUCUGAACUUCUAUUACAAGCAGACUUCAACCGAGCUCCUACAGUGGACGGAUCCCAAACGAGCUUCUACAAUGGGAUAGGCUCCACCGACCAGGUCACUACUCUGAGCUCUUAUGACAAUCAAUCUUCGACCGAGCCUCUACAAUAAGCGGCCUCCUUUCGGCCUUCUGCA
rnacentral:lncRNA from 1 species